rnacentral:tRNA from 1 species
GGCAACUUGGCCGAGCGGUCUAAGGCGCCACGUUAAGGAGCACCCUUAAUACAAUCUUGGGAUUCCGUGGUCCGAAAGGGCGUGAGUUCGAAUCUCACAGUUGUCA